GAGGUACUGACGGAGGAUGGUAACAGCUGACAGCCUUGAAACACAUACAAAAGGACAAAGGUGUGAAGCGAAUAGCCUGGAGUCCUGGCAGAAGCUACCUGGAAUUGGGUAUGAAGGAGGAAAUUUGCCUAAACUGCAAUUUGAUCAUGUCGUGGAUUUAACUUCUUAGAUGAAAUCAUCUCCCAGUUCACCCUCCAGGAACCACUGAUGACAACUGAAAAAAGGAAAAGACAGUGCUUAAAUAUGAAUGUAUGAUAACCAUUCUCACCAUAUGCUGUAUUGCUUUUUUAAACUACAGCGGUUUAACUCAGAGGGUACCCUCCCUUUGAACUUCUUGCCCAGCAGAGACAGACAAGAUGCCAAGACGAGCUGUUCUUCACUACCAACCACUUCUGAAGAAGAUCAAACCCCUUCAUAUGCUGCCAAUCUCUUUUUAAGCUGGAGUGUAGGGGGCCUCAGAUCAUCUGUAUCUGUGACUACAAAACCCUAAGGAUAACUUCAAGUCUUUCCUGAUGCUUUCUGCCAGAGGCUCCAAGCAGGGACAUUCUCCCCAGCUGUAGUCUAGAACAGGCUUUUUUUACAUCUUGUCCCACCCCUAAUGACCCAAGGGCUAUUGCAUGAACUAUUUCCUGUAUAAUUUCUUCAAAGGCUUUUGGUUGUUCAGGGUCCUGUGUGAAAUCAUUCUUCUCCCAGGGUCAUUUGAUAGAGAGGGUCAGGACACCAUUGUGUUUCUCUUUCUAAACACCUCCUCUGCAAUCUUUUUCUGACUGAUCUCAUUAAACACGAUUGCGAGGGUGAUCAUGACAAAGAGUUAUACUCCUAAUAUAAACUGUUUCA
ensembl:lncRNA